rnacentral:rRNA from 1 species
CGGGACGGGUGAGUAAUGCCUGGGAAACUGCCUGAUGGAGGGGGAUAACUACUGGAAACGGUAGCUAAUACCGCAUAACGUCGCAAGACCAAAGAGGGGGACCUUCGGGCCUCUUGCCAUCGGAUGUGCCCAGAUGGGAUUAGCUAGUAGGUGGGGUAACGGCUCACCUAGGCGACGAUCCCUAGCUGGUCUGAGAGGAUGGCCAGCCACACUGGAACUGAGACACGGUCCAG